GUGCUCGCUUCAGCAGCACAUAUACUAAAAUUGGAAUGAUACAGAAAAGAUUUGUAUGGCCCCUGUGUAAGGAUGACAUGCAAAUUCAUGAAGCAUUUCAUAUUUUU